AUUGAACGCUGGCGGCAGGCCUAACACAUGCAAGUCGAGCGAGAGGCGGACGGGUGAGAAAUGUCUGGGAAACUGCCUGCUGGCGGGGGAUAACUACUGGAAACGGUAGCUAAUACCGCAUACCAUCAGAUGUGCCCAGAUGGGAUUAGCGAGUGGGUGGGGUAACGGCUCACCUAGGCGACGCUCCCUAGCUGGUCUGCGAGGAUGACCAGCAACACUGGAACGGAGACACGGUCCAGACUCCUACGGGAGGCAGCAGUGGGGAAUAUUGGACAAUGGGCGCAAGCCGGAUGCAGCCAUGCCGCGUGUGGGAAGAAGGCCUUCGGGUGGUAAAGCACUUUCAGCGGGGAGGCGUUACCCGCAGAAGAAGCACCGGCUAACUCCGUGCCAGCAGCCGCGGUAAUUC
rnacentral:rRNA from 1 species